AGUAAUACAUCGGAACGUGCCCUGUAGUGGGGGAUAACUAGUCGAAAGAUUAGCUAAUACCGCAUACGACCUGAGGGUGAAAGUGGGGACCGCAAGGCCUCAUGCUAUAGGAGCGGCCGAUGUCUGAUUAGCUAGUUGGUGAGGUAAAGGCUCACCAAGGCGACGAUCAGUAGCUGGUCUGAGAGGACGAUCAGCCACACUGGGACUGAGACACGGCCCAG
rnacentral:rRNA from 1 species